GCGGGACUGCCCGGCACGAACUGAUGAGAACAUCCCUGAGGCGAUAAUAUCAUCCAAGGGAGCUAUCCCUGCCCGGGCCCUGGCCCGGCGUAUAUGGCGCCCACCUGACGUAAUGGCGUCAGAGGAUAUUCCGGAAAACGACCCAUGGUGGUUCCGCU
rnacentral:other from 1 species